GCAAACGGGGAAAUGCAAACCCCAUUUAUAGGGUCACAUUUGGAGGAGCCGGCUCCGUCGGGGGCAGGAGGGAGGAAGUGGUGGGGAGGCUCAGGGUGUGUCAGAUCCAGCCUCCCCACCUCUGCUGAGCUGGCGGCUGGACUCAAGGCCUGCCACGUCUUCCUGCUCUGCAGUGCACUAGCUGUGUGACCUUCUGCAAACUGGGUAACCACACUGCCUCCCCACCCCAUCUCCUCCAAGGUAAAGUGGAGAUUUUACCUGCUGCAAAAAGUUGGGUGAGGACUGAUGAGAGAAUGAGGGUUGAUAAGAGAAGCAACCAUACAGCAUUGAAAGCGAAGCCUUAUCCAUCAUCCACGUCAAAGGGGCUGGAAAGGUCCGAAUCCACCUGAAUGACAACUAAAGUUUCGAGAAUGGGAAUGCAAAAGGGGAUUCAAAGCCACCUGCAUUCCUCGGCCCAUGGCCCCUUCUACCAUCUUUGAAGGCAGCAGCAUAGCACAUCUUCGAAUCUCUCUCUGGCCCUGAAACUCUUGUCUGUGUCUUAUGAGGACCCUUGUGACUACAUUGAGCCCACCCAGAUAAUCCAGGAUAAUCUUCCAGCCUCAAGAUCCUUAACUCAAUCACAUCUGCCAAGUCCCUUUUGCCAUAUAAGGUAACACACAUUCACAGGUUCUGCAGAUUAGGAUGUGAACAUCUAUGGCAGGGGGAGGGAACAUUAUUCUAUCAACUACACCUUGGGAAUCACAUAGCAUAGCAUCAUGUCCACAGUAAAGACUGGUCAAAAUUGUCACAGCCAGCUCAGAUUCUAGAGUAGGGGUCAUAGACCCAACCUCUCAAUGGAAGGAGUGCCAAUAAAUGUGUGGCCAUGUGGCCUUGGUUUGAAACUACCACGCCUUUCCUGUUGUGGCUGCUCCACAUUGGCUAACGGGGGAGGAGCUUCACCCCCAUUUUUGACUCAGCAACACGAACAUGAAAAGAGAUGGACAGUCCAGCAGACAUUGAAAGGGGGCAAAAGAUACGCCAUGCAGUUGCACUUCGUGUAAAUUUUAAAUAGUAUCACAUACAAAAUUAAUAAACCUUCUCUUUAUGCACAGUUGAAGCCAAGAAAAUCUUACUUUAUAUUUAUUCCUAACUGAAAACUAGACUCGAAUUGUGCAAGUUUUA
rnacentral:lncRNA from 1 species